UACGGGGGGGGUAAGCGUUGUUCGGAAUUACUGGGCGUAAAGGGCUCGUAGGCGGCCAACUAAGUCAGACGUGAAAUCCCUCAGCUUAACUGGGGAACUGCGUCUGAUACUGGAUGGCUUGGAUUCGGGAGAGGAAUGCGGAAUUCCAGGUGUAGCGGUGAAAUGCGUAGAUAUCUGGAGGAACACCGGUGGCGAAGGCGGCAUUCUGGACCGAUGUUGACGCUGAGGAGCGAAAGCCAGGGGAGCAAACGGG
rnacentral:rRNA from 1 species